rnacentral:rRNA from 1 species
GAUGAACGCUGGCGGCGUGCCUAAUACAUGCAAGUCGAGCGAACGGACGAGGAGCUUGCUUCUCUGAUGUUAGCGGCGGACGGGUGAGUAACACGUGGAUAACCUACCUAUAAGACUGGGAUAACUUCGGGAAACCGGAGCUAAUACCGGAUAAUAUUUUGAACCGCAUGGUUCAAAAGUGAAAGACGGUCUUGCUGUCACUUAUAGAUGGAUCCGCGCUGCAUUAGCUAGUUGGUAAGGUAACGGCUUACCAAGGCAACGAUGCAUAGCCGACCUGAGAGGGUGAUCGGCCACACUGGAACGGAGACACGGUCCAGACUCCUACGGGAGGCAGCAGUAGGGAAUCUUCCGCAAUGGGCGAAAGCCUGACGGAGCAACGCCGCGUGAGUGAUGAAGGUCUUCGGAUCGUAAAACUCUGUUAUUAGGGAAGAACAUAUGUGUAAGUAACUGUGCACGUCUUGACGGUACCUAAUCAGAAAGCCACGGCUAACUACGUG